rnacentral:rRNA from 1 species
UAACACCGGCGCCCCGAGUGGUGACCAUGUUUAUUGGGCCUAAAGCGUCCGUAGCCGGUUUGAUAAGUCUCUCGUGAAAUCGUUGUGCAUAACACAACGGCGUGCGAGAGAUACUGUCAGACUUGAGACUAGGUGAAGCUAGAGGUAUUUUCGGGGUAGGGGUGAAAUCCAUUGAUCCCGGAAAGACCGCCGGUGGCGAAGGCGUCUAGCUAGAAUAGCUCUGACGGUGAGGGACGAAAGCUAGGGUAGCGAAUUGGAUUAGAUACCCAAGUAGUCCUAGCCGUAAACGCUGCUCACUAGGUGUUACGUGUCCUUAGGGGGUACGUAGUGCCGAAGCGAAGGCAUUAAGUGGGCCGCCUGGGGAGUACGGUCGCAAGGCUG